AUUUUCCCUUUCUUCAUUAACUUCUCCACGAAAGAACCCCAAAAGCACUCCAAACCUAACCCAAUUUUCUCCAUCUUUACAUCUUUUCUUCUUAACGACGGAGACCCAUGGCGAUGUCGAAGCUAAACGUUUAGAAGACAGUGAUCCACACUCGUUUUCUCAUUGAUGGUGACCCACACUCAUUUUAAGGGUAGAACAAAAUAUAGAGGAAAUGAUUUAAGCCAUAGGUUUGACAACAUUCUCCCCUACAAAAAGGAUUCUAGAGGGCAACAUGUACCUUAUGAUAAUGAAGUCACAUGUUUCUUUCUUUUUUAUGUUUCAUUUUUUACUCUUUUUUUUAAAAAAAUUAAGGAAUUGUAGAAAGCUAGGUUCUCAACACACGUGCACACUUAUGUUUAAAAGAAUAUAUGAACUACACAAUUCUUUUACAUGUUGUAAUAGCAAAGUUCUUCCCUAAUUUCUUUCAUUUUGUAAUUGAAAUUACAGAGUAUAGCUCAUCUUGGUCACUCAAUUGGCAUAAAUAUAUUGUCACAGCUCUUGUAUGGUA